CGGCACUUUCCAAUUUUGCCCCCCGCGUCGCUCCACUCGCUCGCUCACCGCCCAGCCGCACUGCCCGCGCUCACUCUCUCCCACUCGCCCAGCCGCACUAGCCGGCCUCCCCGUCGCUCGCCGGCCUCCCCCCUCUCCCCGUAGCUCGCCGGCCUCCUCGUUGCUCGCCGGCCUUCCCGUCUCCCCGUAGCUCACCGGCCUCUCCCUCUUCCACCGCCACUUCUCCACCACCCCGCCUCCACUCACACCCCGGAGGUAAACAAAUUCCAAUCUUUUGCGCCGGCGACGAGCUUCUACUCCACGGAGGCGUGGAUGUGCAUGUGCUAGCGCUGGAUCUGGGCGACAGAGGCAUGGAUGUGGAGCGGCACCCGAGCGGCGGAUCUGGAGCGGUGCCGGAGCGGCGGAGCGGCGGAUCUGGAGCGACGUCGUCGUCGUCGUGGAGUAGCUGCUUCCUCCCGCGUGAAACUGGAGAACGAGAGGGAGGGGCAGAUGAUGGCCGCCAUCAUGGAUUUGAAUCUUCUGUUCUUACAUUGCUGUAGUACUGGCUGCAGUCUUGCUGUACAAUCACUUGAGGAAUUCAAGGCCUGAUGCGUCCUUCUGGGAGCCAUGGCUACUUCUUCCUGUGCCCUGCGUCAGGAGAAGGAGCACGCCCAGGAGAAGAAGGAUCGGGAGAAGGCCCUGAGGACCUGGGAUCGCUGCUGCUAGAUCUGGAUCUGGGACCUGGGACUGCUGCUGCCGCGUGCUCCUUCUGGGAGACGAGGACCCUCCUUGGCGCCCCUGGAUCGCUGCUGCUGGACGCCCCUGGAUCGCUGCUGCUGGACGCCCCUGGAUCGCUGCUGCUGGAGACGAGGACCUGGGCCUGGGAGCGCUGAGGAGAAGUAGGGGACCUGGGCCUGGGAGCGCCUGGGACCUGGGCGCGUGGAGGAGAAGCAGGGGCGGGCGGGCGGACGAUGGCCUGGCGGAGAAUUUCAAAUCCUCGGAUGGAGGAAGAAGACGAUGGGGAUACCGAUUCAUACUAGGGGCAGCGAUGUAAAUUCCACCGUUUUCACCUGGUCGGAACCAAUCCUCCAGCGACCUAUAUUUCGGAACGAAGGGAGUACAUCUUAAGACAGACGGUUAAUGUCAAAAAUGUUUUGCAUUUUGUGACAGAGGAAGUAUUUAUUUAUUAGCCAACCAGAGGAAGUACAUAUUAUUUGUGCAAAUUUCGGCUAGCAAGCUAGCAAUGCUCUAUUUCUUAGGUUCAUCAGAGAUGUACUGCUACGUUUACUUGACUUUCCCCCUCUAAGUUUUGGAUUGGGCUAAUAAUAUAGCUCUGCUCUCAAGGCCAAUUGCUGUAAAAAUUGUAGGAUUCUAAAUAUUUCUAUUGUUUUAUUGUUGUAUUAUAAUCUGCUUA